GCAAGGCGCAACGUAAUACAACGAAGUAAUCGGAUUAAACGUAAUACCCUUUGAUGUCAACAGAAUCUGAAUCAUAACCAAUCUUGUAGCCUCAAAAGCUACAGCACCUAACUGUAACAUCACACCCCAUGUAUCAAAUUUAGCUUCUCCAUAAGCAGCAAUCGCAACCCCAAUCGAAAUCGACACCAUAUUCCCCAUUGUAUCAGAUUUAAAAGUAUCUUUCUUAAACAGAACCCCAAUUGAAUACACAGCAACAGGCAUCAAAGCUUUAAGCAUUUGAAUAAACGAUACAGACAGAUAAAUAUAAGCAGAAUUCGACAACCACAGUGAAAACGCAUAAAGUAAACCAAUGGGUACCACAGAUUUGCAAUAAAGAUCCAUUGUCAUUGUCACAGGCUCAACAAGUUUAAACACACGAACAAGAAGAUAAGCCAAUGAAGAACAAAAAGCCAUAUGAAUAAUUGUUAGUGAAAUUGGGUAAGGCCAAUUGUACAACUUACGAUCCAAGAUAUACUUGUUGUACACAAUCACAGUAAAAGAUAGGAAGAUCCAAAUUGCAACAUAAGUGUAUGAAAGCAAGAUUUUUUUCACAACCCCUUCACUCAAGUUUCCACCUUUUCCCAUUUUUUCAACUCAAUAACUCAAAAUCAAGCAAAAUCAAGAAACACCCACAAUUCUUUUUGGAUCAAUGAAAGGGAAUUUGGGGAAAAAAGAGAGAAUUUUAGGAGGAGAAAGAGGAGGC
rnacentral:misc_RNA from 1 species